GAUGAACGCUGGCGGCGUGCCUAAUACAUGCAAGUCGAGCGAACGGACGAGAAGCUUGCUUCUCUGAUGUUAGCGGCGGACGGGUGAGUAACACGUGGAUAACCUACCUAUAAGACUGGGAUAACUUCGGGAAACCGGAGCUAAUACCGGAUAAUAUUUUGAACCGCAUGGUUCAAAAGUGAAAGACGGUCUUGCUGUCACUUAUAGAUGGAUCCGCGCUGCAUUAGCUAGUUGGUAAGGUAACGGCUUACCAAGGCAACGAUGCAUAGCCGACCUGAGAGGGUGAUCGGCCACACUGGAACUGAGACACGGUCCAGACGCCUACGGGAGGCAGCAGUAGGGAAUCUGCCGCAGUGGGCGAAAGCCUGACGGAGCAACGCCGCGUGAGUGAUGAAGGUCUUCGGAUCGUAAAACUCUGUUAUUAGGGAAGAACAUAUGUGUAAGUAACUGUGCACAUCUUGACGGUACCUAGUCAGAAAGCCACGGCUAACUACGUG
rnacentral:rRNA from 1 species